GGGGAAUAUUGCACAAUGGGCGCAAGCCUGAUGCAGCAACGCCGCGUGAGGGACGACGGCCUUCGGGUUGUAAACCUCUUUUGGCAGGGAAGAAGCGAAAGUGACGGUACCUGCAGAAAAAGCACCGGCUAACUACGUGCCAGCAGCCGCGGUGAUACGUAGGGUGCAAGCGUUGUCCGGAAUUAUUGGGCGUAAAGAGCUCGUAGGCGGUUUGUCGCGUCUGCUGUGAAAACCCGAGGCUCAACCUCGGGCCUGCAGUGGGUACGGGCAAACUAGAGUGCGGUAGGGGAGAUUGGAAUUCCUGGUGUAGCGGUGGAAUGCGCAGAUAUCAGGAGCAACACCGAUGGCGAAGGCAGAUCUCUGGGCCGUAACUGACGCUGAGGAGCGAAAGCAUGGGGAGCGAACA
rnacentral:rRNA from 1 species